GACGUAGGGUGCGAGCGUUGUCCGGAUUUAUUGGGCGUAAAGAGCUCGUAGGCGGCUUGUCGCGUCUGCUGUGAAAACUCGGGGGCUUAACCCCCGGGCCUGCAGUGGGUACGGGCAGACUAGAGUGCGGUAGGGGAGACUGGAAUUCCUGGUGUAGCGGUGAAAUGCGUAGAUAUUCGGAAGAACACCAGUGGCGAAGGCGACUUACUGGACACAUAUUGACGCUGAGGUGCGAAAGCGUGGGGAGCAAACAGGG
rnacentral:rRNA from 1 species